AACAAGCUUGGAUUACCGCGAGCCAGGGAUCCCGCCACUCUGGCAGCCUCCUGAGGAUUCCGUGGUGGGGACCAGCACAGAGCCGCCUCCAGUGGUCCUCAGAGAGCAAGAGUGUCAACUCCAGCAAAGAGACUGCCUCCAAAUCUCCAGGCUGGUCAAGUGAAGCCGUGGGCAUGGAGAAGGAACAGAGGAGCCUGCAUGGCUGUGAUUCAUCAGGUACAAACGCGACGGUGCUGGGACCAGCCUGAUUACGCAUCUCACAAGGAAGCCAGGUUCAGCCGGGGCCGGGUUUGAACAUGCCACCCUCGGUAUAUGGGGCCGGCGCCUUACCGACUGAGCCACAGGCGCCGCCCAUGUCACUCCUUUUCCUAGAACUGCGAUCAUACCAGGACAGUGGUCUUUUCUCCUCCCAGGAUCAGGCAUCUUGUCUGGAAACUGUGGCUCAGCGUUGCAAGCUCUGGGGUGACCGGAGGCAUGCCAGGCACAGUGUAGGCCCUGGGCUGAAGUUCCAGCUCCUGUUCUUUAUUUUGGGAGCUGAAGGGCUGGCAGCAGGGCCAGAAAGAUUUGGGGUGGUUUGCAGCACCGGAGCCCAGAGAUUCAGAACCAGCAUACAGAGACCAUGACGCUCUAAGCAGCAGGAGAAGAGGUAGGGGUACGGCUGAGAACCCCGUGCCCCAGGAUUCCCAGGCAUAGACAGCAUCACCCUCAUGGGAACUGGGACCUUUGAGGGCACAGGGAGGGAGCAGGGCCACGCAGCAGGGUCAGCUGCCUCCCACCUGCUCCCCAGGUUGCCCUGGGCACCUUCCCUGCCUCUGUGGUGGGUACAGCCACGGGGGGCUCUGACCGGCUUCCCCCAUGGAGGCCACAGUCGCCUCUUCAGGGCUCUCCUGUUUCCCCAGUCCCUGCCACAGCCUGGCAAUGGGCCCUCUGUCAGAGCCCCCCAAUCUGUGGGAGGGCACUCUGAUCCCCAGGGGACCCCGGCAAACCCCACUUUGCCUCCCUGCUAUCAGCUUUGGUCUGGCUCCUUCCUCUGGUGGCAGCUUGGUAGAGUUACAGUCUACCCCCAGCACUGCAGCCUAACUGGGAGCCUCCGCAGGCCCAGGCUGGUCACCCUGCACACUGGCUUCUGUGGUCCUUUGGGCUGCUGCGGGCAGUGCAUCCUCCCCUCAGGUCCGUUACUGCCCCAACUGCCCCAUAACCCUCUUGCCUCUGUCCCAUGACCCCCCAUCUGGCCUGGGAUGGCCAUGCACUCCAACAGCAGCAGCCCCACACUGUUGUCCUCUGCCUGUGGGCCACAAAGGGCUGUGGGGACCCUGGGCAUGGGGGCAGGGGGUGAGGGACCAGCACUGGGGGGCUUGGAGAGGCCACAGGCCAGUGUCUACAGGUAACCACCCUGGGGUGGGACUGUGUCUCCUGGCUGUCCCAGGAAGAUCAGGCAGUGUCUGUCUGGGAUUUCCCCUGUGACUGUCUCCUGAGGUGGCCCUCACCAGCCCCCUGGGGUCCAGGCAGACAGGGAGCUGCCUGCACCAGGUGUGUGUGAGACCCCUGAGGACACUCAUCACCCAGUGGUGGCUGUGAUGGAGAAGCAGAGAUGUGGGUGUCCCUCCUCAGGGCUCUGCUUGGUGGGGCUAACAGGGGACAAGAGUGGGCUGUUGUCCGGCUCAUCUGUACUACACCCUGGUGGGAAUUCAGGGCUCCACAGAACCUCAGGGCCUGGCCUGAGCAGCCAGCACGCAUCUUGGUUAGUGCCCGGCUAGCGCUUCUAAGUCUGUGGGCAGUGUCCCCAGCUCUUGAGGCUCCAGGGCAGCCUCAGGUACUGGCUCUGUCUGGCCUCAGCCCCUCUCAGGUCCUGUCCCCACAGAGGAACAGAAGUGACAAGAGGCAGCUCACGUUGGCCCAAAGCUGACUUGUGUGGCAGACAAGGGGCUGGGGCAGGCAUGUCCCCACUGGGUCCUUGGGCGGUGUGACACUAUGGCUGGUUGAGUGACUCCCGGACAAAGAGGCAGUGGGGCACAGGGGGCCUGGAAGGAGAGCCUGCCCAGUGAGCAGGAGCAGAGGGAGGGCAGGGCUGGUGCCGUGAGGGGCAGCCAAGGGUGGGUGGGUGGACUGUGGGAGCAGCCACCAGUGGGACCUGCAAUGAGGGCAGAGCAGGGACCCCUGGGCGUGUGUGAGUCGGAGAAUUUCUCUGACAGCAUGAGGGUGUCACCGUCCUUGCAGGGCCCACUUUGUGUCCCCAGAGAGGACACCCAAGGCAGUGCCCGAAAGUGGCCCACACAGGUAGGUGCAGAUGGGCCCCUCAUGACUGACAGCCAGUGUGGUGGGGCCCACAACCCCGCAUUUCCAACGAGCUCCUCACAGCAUCAAUGACACUGACCAGAGGCCACAGUAGCAGGGCCUAAAUUAGUGGACACUCUUGAUAGGAACAAGUGGCCACUGACCAUGCCUCCAAGCCUGCUGAGUCCAAGGACUUCCUAGCAAUGCCUCCUUCAUUCCAGAAAACCUCAGGAAGCUACAGCCUGGCCUGCUUCUCACCACGACCCACCCACCACACUGAUGCACCCCAGAUUGCACGGUGAGAGUGUUUCCUAAGAAACAAGCAAACUGGCCUCCAAAGUGGCCACCGCGUUCUGCCCCCCCCCUGGUGAAAGGGCGUCACUGCGUGGCCACCCCAUCAGCACUUAUCAUCCAGGUGCUAGAUGCGUCAGCCACUGUUUGCAGUGAGGCGUCACCCCCUCAGGAACGAGUCGUGGAGCCCCCCGAGUGCCCAUGGCUGUCCCUGGUAAAAGCAGAAGAUUUUAAUCUUAAUGAGUCCAGCUCAUCAGCCAUUUCUUCCAUGGUCCUGCCUCUGGAGUUGUAUAUAGAAGUCCACCAAAUCCUAAUGCAUCUCAAUUUUCCCCCUGUGGAUGUUUACUUCGAUAAGAAACUGCUGAACUGGCGCCCAAAGUAGCUGCACCAUUCUGCAUUCCUGCUGGCAACGAAUGAGUCACCAUCCAGGGCUCACAGCUCUGCACCUGACACCUAGUCCUGGGACCCAGUCUGAGUUAAUGUUUGUGGAGAGUUUAUGGUUUGUGUCCAGAUUCCUUUCUUUCUUUUUGCGUUUGGAUGAGCAGUGGUUCCAGACCACUAUGGAAAAGGCGAUCUCUGCCCUGUGGGUUGCCUGGUUUGUGGUUGAAGUCCAAUGACUGUGUUUGUGUGGGUCUGUGCCAGCCAGAGAGACAGAGCGGACAGGGUGAACAGCUGGGGAGGGAAAAUAUACACACAUAGA